GAUGAACGCUAGCGACAGGCUUAACACAUGCAAGUCGAGGGGCAGCAUGUCGGUUGCUUGCAACCGACGAUGGCGACCGGCGCACGGGUGAGUAACGCGUAUCCAACCUGCCCACCACUUGGGGAUAACCUUGCGAAAGUAAGACUAAUACCCAAUGAUAUCCCACGAAGGCAUCCGAAUGGGAUUAAAGAUUUAUCGGUGAUGGAUGGGGAUGCGUCUGAUUAGUUUGUUGGCGGGGUAACGGCCCACCAAGGCAACGAUCAGUAGGGGUUCUGAGAGGAAGGUCCCCCACAUUGGAACUGAGACACGGUCCAAACUCCUACGGGAGGCAGCAGUGAGGAAUAUUGGUCAAUGGGCGAGAGCCUGAACCAGCCAAGUAGCGUGCAGGAAGACGGCCCUAUGGGUUGUAAACUGCUUUUAUAGGGGAAUAAAGUGAGCCACGUGUGGUUUUUUGCAUGUACCCUAUGAAUAAGGACCGGCUAAUUCCGUG
rnacentral:rRNA from 1 species